GGUGGUUAUGGCGGAGGGCCCCCACUCGAUCCCAUUCCGAACUCGGUUGUGAAAUCCUCCAGCGCCGAUGGUACUUCGUCUUAAGGCGUGGAAGAGUAGGUCGCUGCCG
rnacentral:rRNA from 1 species